GCGUCGAUGGUGCAAGUGGUAGAGCACGCGUUCCCGGACUGGGUAAAACGCGGGUUCAAUUCUCGCUUGAAGCA